AUGGCUGCUGCGUUUGCGUCGACGGCGGCGGUGUUGAGGUCUGCUCGCCCGGGACGGGUGCCCAUCGCUCGGCGGUGCGUGGUGGCGCGGGCGUCCGCGACGAUGGCGGCACCGGCGGGGCUGGCGGCGGGAAGGACGCACUACGAUGUGCUCGGCGUAAGCGCGGGGGCGAGCAGGGGCGAGAUCAAGGCCGCUUACCGGCGCCUGGCGAGGGUGGUGCACCCGGACACCGGCGGCGGCGGCGGAGACGAGGGGUUCAUCCGGCUGCACGCAGCCUACGCCACGCUCGCCGACCCCGAUGAGCGCGCGCGGUACGACCGGGACGUGACCAGCCGCGCCGCGGGGAUGAUGAUGCGGCGGGCGUCGGCGACGACCGGGCCGGCGUUCCGGCGGCGGACGUGGGAGACGGACCAGUGCUGGUAG
rnacentral:rRNA from 1 species